rnacentral:rRNA from 1 species
GAUGAACGCUGGCGGCGUGCUUAACACAUGCAAGUCAAACGGAAAGGCCCAAGCUUGCUUGGGUGCUCGAGUGGCGAACGGGUGAGUAACACGUGGGUGAUCUGCCCUGCACUUUGGGAUAAGCCUGGGAAACUGGGUCUAAUACCGGAUAGGACCAUCGUUUAGUGUCGGUGGUGGAAAGUUUUUCGGUGUGGGAUGAGCUCGCGGCCUAUCAGCUUGUUGGUGGGGUAAUGGCCUACCAAGGCGUCGACGGGUAGCCGGCCUGAGAGGGUGUACGGCCACAUUGGGACUGAGAUACGGCCCAGACUCCUACGGGAGGCAGCAGUGGGGAAUAUUGCACAAUGGGCGCAAGCCUGAUGCAGCGACGCCGCGUGGGGGAUGACGGCCUUCGGGUUGUAAACUCCUUUCGCCAAGGACGAAGCGUUUUGUGACGGUACUUGGAGAAGAAGCACCGGCUAACUACGUG